CCUACGUGUGACAGCAGUGAGGAAUAUUGGUCAAUGGGCGGAAGCCUGAACCAGCCAAGUAGCGUGCAGGAUGACGGCCCUACGGGUUGUAAACUGCUUUUAUCCGGGAAUAACGCGCCUUACGUGUAGGGCUUUGCAUGUACCGUAUGAAUAAGGACCGGCUAAUUCCGUGCCAGCAGCCGCGGUAAUACGGAAGGUCCGGGCGUUCUCCGGAUUUAUUGGGUUGAAAGGGAGCGUAGGCCGCAUAUCAAUCGUGCUGUGAAAUGUCCGGGCUCAACCCGGGCUUUGCAGCGCGAAAUGGCGUGCGUGAGUCCGCGGAAGGCAGGCGGAAUUCGUCGUGUAGCGGUGAAAUGCUUAGAUAUGACGAAGAACCCCGAUUGCGAAGGCAGCUUGCUGCAGCGGAACUGACGCUGAUGCUCGAAAGCGCGGGUAUCGAACAGGAUUAGAUACCCCAGUAGUC
rnacentral:rRNA from 1 species